AAAUAAGAGAAAACUGAAGUAAUUUUUAUGAUAUUUUUACAUUUGACAUAUUAUGAUAUUCCUACAGUGAAGUUUAUUUUUAUUUUUUAUUCAGGGAUGUACUCAUUUGCUCUAAAGUCUCGCUCAAAUGUCAUCAAUAGAUAUAUAAGGUAACCAUUUUAUUCCAUUACAUAAGGAUACUCUUUAAAAAAAAAUGUUUAAAAUAAUGUGGUAUCAAAAUAAUCCCCACAGCAGAGAUGUCAUACGCUUCACACUGUUACAUGUGAAGUUAUGUAGAAUAAAUGCAACACUUUCAAAACAUUAAAGGAUUGUGCGCUCGUGAUGCGCGCAUGCGCAGAUCACAUUCCUCCCGAGCAGGACCAGCACUGGUGAGAAUAAAGUCAUUAUCUGAUCGCCUUCACAUUACACACUAUUCAUGUCAUGCCAUUAAUACAUGUUCGAUAUAAAUAGAUUUGACUUUGCAUGCAUUUCUGGAUACUUCAUUACGCACGUUUCAUCGUAUUUUUCCUUCAUAAAAUUAAAUAACCCUAAUAAUUAGCAAUUAAGAUGAGGUUGCCUUGAAAUUACAACAUUUGUUUUAAUGUCGAUCAUCAUAACAGAGCGCAUCUGCCUUUUCCUUCCAAAUGCAUCGGAAUCGAAUGCACCUCAUAAAGCAGUCUUUCAGACAAGAGCAGAAUGAAAUAAUGAAUGGUUCGCCUGCUUUACAGUUUACUGCACAGGAACAUGGACUUCCGCCAUUUUGCACUGUGGUACGGAGCAGAGGCUUGCUAUGAGUGCCAAAGCAGACCUGGGUGUCCUGCCACAUGAUGCAGACGUCCCGUCUGAAAGCAGCGUCUCUCACGCUCCCAAUGACAGUUCUGCACAGCGGCUGAAAACCCAGGAUGCCACCACAAUCAUUUUUCCAGCUUCUGCUCAUCCAUUGCCAAAAGUUGAUCUGCCUCCAAAUGCAAUCAAGGCGAUUAAAGGCAGUGAACUGGAGGCCGCAUCACUUCCUGCUCAGGUUGGAGGGACGAUUGUGCAUGUUCUGGGCUGGAAGGAGGGAAUGGCCAUCCUCCCUGGAAGCAAUCUGAAGGUGAGCAAGAUGACUGUGUCUGUGUGGACCUGUGUACGGUGAUCUUGAUGACAACAAGCUCUCGAGGUCUUCAUGUUCAAAACUUAAGGCAGCCACCUCUGUGCCUGCAUGUAGAUCAGGUUACAACAUGUUCCCUACACGUGGCAAAGACAUUGAUAGUUAUCUAAAAUAAAGAUUUAACCAUGUUAACA
ensembl:lncRNA